rnacentral:rRNA from 1 species
AUUCCUACGGGAGGCAGCAGUGGGGAAUAUUGCACAAUGGGCGAAAGCCUGAUGCAGCAACGCCGCGUGAAGGAAGAAGGCCUUCGGGUCGUAAACUUCUGUCCUUGGGGAAGAAGAACUGACGGUACCCAAGGAGGAAGCCCCGGCUAACUACGUGCCAGCAGCCGCGGUAAUACGUAGGGGGCAAGCGUUAUCCGGAAUUAGUGGGCGUAAAGAGUACGUAGGUGGCAACCUAAGCGCAGGGUUUACGGCAAUGGCGCAAACAU